rnacentral:rRNA from 1 species
UACGUAGGCAGCAAGCGUUGUUCGGAGUUACUGGGCGUAAAGAGUGCGUAGGCGGUGCUCUAAGUUUGGUGUGAAAUCUCCCGCUUAACUGGGAGGGUGCGCCGAAAACUGGAGUGCUUGAGUGUGGGAGAGGCAAGCGGAAUUCCUGGUGUAGCAGUGAAAUGCGUAGAGAUCAUGAGGAAGACCAGUGGCGAAGGCGGGUCUCUGGACAGUUCCUGGACACUGAGGCACGGAAGGCCAGGGGAGCAAACGGG